GAAUAGAGGAGAGUAUUCCAUCAACAUCAGUUGGAGUCCGGGAUCCAUCUGUGUAGUCCACAUUUUCUAAACAACUUAUCGCAGAAAAAAUCAGUCCAUCAGAGUGAGAAAUUAACCCACCCAACAAGGCAACCUCAGUAGUCUCCAGAUAAAGAUUUAACUGCCUCACUUGAGAUGAAAUAGAAGGUAUAGUGACCUCACUAAAUGCUACGCAAGAUUUGACAAAACUGAGAUUCG
rnacentral:misc_RNA from 1 species